rnacentral:snRNA from 1 species
AUCGCUUCUUGGCCUUUUGGCUAAGAUCAAGUGUAGUAUUUGUUCUUAUCAGUUUAAUGUCUGAUAUGUCCUUUAUCUGAGGACAAUAUAGUAGUCUAUUUCUGAAACAUCGACCGGGAUGAGAGAUUUCUAUGCCAUUCCAUGCAUUGACUGGUAUUGCAGUACCUCCAGGAAUGGUGUCCGGGGU